rnacentral:rRNA from 1 species
UACAGAGGGUGCGAGCGUUGUCCGGAAUCACUGGGCGUAAAGGGCGCGUAGGCGGCGUUUUUAAGUCGGGGGUGAAAGCCUGUGGCUCAACCACAGAAUUGCCUUCGAUACUGGGACGCUUGAGUGUGGUAGAGGUUGGUGGAACUGCGAGUGUAGAGGUGAAAUUCGUAGAUAUUCGCAAGAACACCGGUGGCGAAGGCGGCCAACUGGACCAUCACUGACGCUGAGGCGCGAAAGCGUGGGGAGCAAACAGG